rnacentral:rRNA from 1 species
GACGUAGGGGGCCAGCGUUGCUCGGAAUUACUGGGCGUAAAGGGUUCGUAGGCGGUGCGGUAAGUCGGGAGUGAAAUCUCUGGGCUUAACUCAGAGGCUGCUUCCGAAACUACCGUGCUAGAGUGCGAGAGAGGCAAGUGGAAUUGCGGGUGUAGCGGUGAAAUGCGUAGAUAUCCGCAGGAACAUCCGAGGCGAAAGCGGCUUGCUGGAUCGCAACUGACGCUGAGGGACGAAAGCUAGGGGAGCAAACAGG